GGAGGAGCUCAUGCAAAACUCCACAUCUUCUCCCUCUUAUGAGUCUGAUGAGGAUGAGAGUGAACACAGACACAGUUUAACAUGAUGGGCUUCAGGACAGGACUGUUGCUCCUGACUCUCUGCUGGGCAGGUGCUGAUGCUCAGACUCUGACAGAAUCUGAACCAGCAGUGAAAAGACCUGGAGAAUCCCACAGACUGACCUGUACAGCUUCUGGGUUUAACUUUGGUGGCUAUGAAAUGCACUGGAUCAGACAGGCUCCUGGAAAAGGCCUGGAGUGGAUUGCUUUCAUCAGCACUGGCGGUGGCAGCACCUACUACUCUGAGUCAGUUAAAGGCCGGUUCACCGUCUCCAGAGACAACAGCCAAAACCAGGUGUUUCUGCAGAUGAACAGCCUGAAAACCGACGACUCUGCAGUUUAUUACUGUGCCAGAGACACAGUGACACAAGAGACACAGACGCUGUACAAAAACUCCCACAUCAGAGCCAGUAGAAAGGCUGCUGUUUAUAAUUCACACCCACAGAAACAAACUGCUUCAGCUCAACACAAUUCAUACCCACAGUCAGUGAGUGAAGUUGGUGGAGGAGCUGUACAAAAUCCUCACAAACACUCAUGA